rnacentral:rRNA from 1 species
UACGAAGGGGGCUAGCGUUGCUCGGAAUCACUGGGCGUAAAGGGCGCGUAGGCGGCCACGCACGUCCGUUGUGAAAUCGCCCGGCUCAACUGGGCGGGGUCAGCGGAUACGGUGUGGCUCGAGCAAGCUAGGGGGCAAUGGAAUUCCCGGUGUAGUGGUGGAAUGCGUAGAUAUCGGGAGGAACACCAGUGGCGAAGGCGGUUGCCUGGAGCUUUGCUGACGCUGAGGCGCGAAAGCGUGGGUAGCAAACAGG